CUUCUUUGCAUCCUCGCGACUAAUGACAACCCUAAUCCGCCUUUGCGGAUGAAGCCUCUCAUUAGCCGCGCGAACCUCUGCAAUGAAGAUCAUUCUUAGCAACAAUACAUUAGUUUCCAGAGAAUUGCUGCCGCCUGGUCGAAAAAAGGGGCCGUAAAGGCCCCCUUUU
rfam:Cronobacter sp. DJ34 Bact_A5_14, whole genome shotgun sequence.